GGACAUAGCUCAGUGGUGGAGCAUCUGCUUUGCACGCAGAAGGUCCCAAGUUCAAUCCCCAGCAUCUCCA